UGCGCAGGCGGGCUUGUAAGUCAGUGGUGAAAUACUGCCGCUUAACGGUAGAACUGCCAUUGAUACUGCAAGCCUUGAAUAUGGUUGAGGUAGGCGGAAUGUGUCGUGUAGCGGUGAAAUGCAUAGAUAUGACACAGAACGCCAAUUGCGAAGGCAGCUUACUAAGCCAUUAUUGACGCUGAGGCACGAAAGCGUGGGGAGCGAACAGGAUUAGAUACCCUGGUAGUCC
rnacentral:rRNA from 1 species